rnacentral:rRNA from 1 species
CACAUGCAAGUCGAACGGCAGCACAGCCCCGCAAGGGGUGGGUGGCGAGUGGCGGACGGGUGAGGAAUACAUGGGAAUCUACCCUGUCGUGGGGGAUAACGUAGGGAAACUUACGCUAAUACCGCAUACGACCGAGAGGUGAAAGCGGCGGACCGCAAGGCGUCGCGCGAUUGGAUGAGCCCAUGUCGGAUUAGCUAGUUGGCGGGGUAAAGGCCCACCAAGGCGACGAUCCGUAGCUGGUCUGAGAGGAUGAUCAGCCACACUGGAACUGAGACACGGUCCAGACUCCUACGGGAGGCAGCAGUGGGGAAUAUUGGACAGUGGGCGCAAGCCUGAUCCAGCCAUGCCGCGUGGGUGAAGAAGGCCUUCGGGUUGUAAAGCCCUUUUGUCCGGAAAGAAAAGCUUCGGGUUAAUACCCCGGGGUCCUGACGGUACCGGAAGAAUAAGCACCGGCUAACUUCGUGCCAGCAGCCGCGGUAAUACGAAGGGUGCAAGCGUUACUCGGAAUUACUGGGCGUAAAGCGUGCGUAGGUGGUUUGUUAAGUCUGAUGUGAAAGCCCUGGGCUCAACCUGGGAAUUGCAUUGGAUACUGGCAGGCUAGAGUGCGGUAGAGGGUAGUGGAAUUCCCGGUGUAGCAGUGAAAUGCGUAGAGAUCGGGAGGAACACCAGUGGCGAAGGCGACUACCUGGACCAGCACUGACACUGAGGCACGAAAGCGUGGGGAGCAAACAGGAUUAGAUACCCUGGUAGUCCACGCCCUAAACGAUGCGAACUGGAUGUUGGGAGCAACUAGGCUCUCAGUAUCGAAGCUAACGCGUUAAGUUCGCCGCCUGGGGAGUACGGUCGCAAGACUGAAACUCAAAGGAAUUGACGGGGGCCCGCACAAGCGGUGGAGUAUGUGGUUUAAUUCGAUGCAACGCGCAGAACCUUAC